rnacentral:misc_RNA from 1 species
CUUUAUGACAUGAAAAGAGAGAAAAACAAACACUUGAGUCGUGGAACUAAGAAUUGAUCAUAAAUGAUAAACUUUUCUAGUAGGAAUCUCCCUAACAACUUACAAAAUCAUCAUAGGAGUCCUUUGGAGUAGUAGAAACACUAAUCUAACACAUGAAUAAAACACUCACACACAACAAAAUGGCUAACCAAAUGAUUUGAAUGAAAACUAUAGAUUGGGGGCAGGCAACUUUCUGCCUCUUGUUAUGGGGAGACUCUUCACUUUGUGUAGAGGACAUCUUCCCAUGGAUGACGAUACAAUGGCUGCUUCAAUCUCUUCUGGUCAAAUGUGUGUCCUAUAAGCCCAAUUGAACGAGCCAGCACGAAAAGUCCAUUGAGGUAACCAAUCCCCACUAUUUCAUCAAUUUCUGGCUUCGUGAACAUACCACUGCCCGCAAGGAGAUCCAAGAAGAGGGAUCCGAUGGCACCAUCAACGUUGAGGACUAGGUUGUUUGCCUUUGAGAGUGUGUAAGUUUCAACCUGAACAGCAUAUUCCAUGUACUUAACAGAAGGGAAAUUUUCCCUAGCAUAACGCUGCAGUAGUUCCACUCUCUUAUCUCUAUUGUCACCUCUUUUAAUCCUGUGGCCAAUUCCUGGAACUCGAAUGCCUUUUUUCUUCAUACUUUCUACAAACUCAUAUGGAGUAAGACCCUUGUCAUAAGCAUCCUUGAAGUACCGGGCAGCAUCAUCA